GUAGGGAAUCUUCGGCAAUGGACGAAAGUCUGACCGAGCAACGCCGCGUGAGUGAAGAAGGUUUUCGGAUCGUAAAACUCUGUUGUUAGAGAAGAAUGUUGAUUAGAGUGGAAAAUUAAUCAAGUGACGGUAUCUAACCAGAAAGGGACGGCUAACUACGUGCCAGCAGCCGCGGUAAUACGUAGGUCCCGAGCGUUGUCCGGAUUUAUUGGGCGUAAAGCGAGCGCAGGUGGUUUAAUAAGUCUGAUGUAAAAGGCAGUGGCUCAACCAUUGUGUGCAUUGGAAACUGUUAGACUUGAGUGCAGUAGAGGAGAGUGGAAUUCCAUGUGUAGCGGUGAAAUGCGUAGAUAUAUGGAGGAACACCGGUGGCGAAAGCGGCUCUCUGGACUGUCACUGACACUGAGGCUCGAGAGCGUGGGUAGCAAACAGGAUUAGAAACCCGGGUAGUCC
rnacentral:rRNA from 1 species